rnacentral:misc_RNA from 1 species
GAUGAAGAACGUAGCGAAAUGCGAUAAGUAAUGCGAAUUGCAGAAUUCCGUGAGUCAUCGAAUCUUUGAACGCACAUUGCGCCCCUUGGUAUUCCGGGGGGCAUGCCUCUUCCAGCGUCAUUUCACCCCUCAAGCUCUGCUUGGUUUUGGGCCGCGCCGGCAACGGCGGGCCUCGAAAAUAGUGGCGACGCCAUCGUGCUCUCAGCGUAGUAAUUCUUCUCGCUGUUGGGUCCCGGUGGUCGUCCGCCAGCAACCCCCAACUUUCUUAAGUUUGACCUGGGAUGAGGUAGGGAUACCCGCUGAACUUAAGCAUAUCAAUAAGCGGAGGA